UAAUACAGAGGGUGCAAGCGUUGUUCGGAAUUAUUGGGCGUAAAGCGCGUGUAGGCGGCCAAGCAUGUCGGGUGUGAAAGCCCUGGGCUUAACCCAGGAAGUGCGCCCGAAACUACGUGGCUUGAGUGUCGGAGAGGAUGGCGGAACUCCCGGUGUAGAGGUGAAAUUCGUAGAUAUCGGGAAGAACACCAGUGGCGAAGGCGGCCAUCUGGACGACAACUGACGCUGAGACGCGAAAGCGUGGGGAGCAAACAGGAUUAGAUACCCUGGUAGUCCACGCCGUAAACGAUGGGCACUAGAUGUCGUGGGUGUUGACCCCCGCGGUGUCGAAGCUAACGCAUUAAGUGCCCCGCCUGGGAAGUACGGCCGCAAGGCUA
rnacentral:rRNA from 1 species